rnacentral:lncRNA from 1 species
GCCUUCUUUAGGAACCACUUGGUAGUUUCCAGACUCAACUUACUUUCCUUUCACAAUGCCUUUGGGUAAGCCCUUUAAAAUCAAUCCCAAAUAUUUUCCCUUCAUGUAACUCCUGGUCAUAGUUAGAGUUGGGAACAACUUUUGCAGAAAGCUGUUUCUGAACAUUGCACAGGAAUAAGAGCCUUCUUUUCCUCUUCCCUUUUAUAUUGAGUUCCUUUACUUUGGCAUUGCUAGAUGGAGAGAGCUCGGAACAUCAAGGUGGUUUUGUUUAUUUGGUGGAGGAGGCACAGGACUGAGGACUGAGGACUGGGCAGCCCUGGCCAGGCCCUUUCUGUGACCUCAAGUCUCGGCGAGGCUUCCCUGAUGACUGACAGAUAUCUGAGGGGAGGAUUCUUAGCCAUCUCUGGAUUUAGUUUUACAAACUAAGUACAUGAAUGAAUUCAUUUUAAAAUCCACUCUUGAUCCUACUGUGGCUUCGAUAUGUUGAACAAGUCUCCCUUUCACAUGUGCAACAAAUGUAUAUAAAGCCAUGAGAGAAGAUGACCUCAGCUCUUGAAACUUAUAAACAUUUGAGCCAUCUCCCUCUCGAGGGAAAGCCCCCCAAAGAAUUUCAAACUUCAAGCAGAACUGACAACCAUUUAUACUCUCUGUUUGAAGUUGUAAUUUUUUUUUUUUUAAGCCAAAGAUGAUCUUACGGGUUCAGCCAUUUCCUUAAUGAAAUUAAUAUUUCUCACUGAAUGGUUUCAUGCAAAAGUGCUGGGGAUGUCUGGGGUCUGGAUGUCAUUCCUGUGAUUUUUCUACAUAAGGAAAACUGUAAGCAGGGGCAACCACUAUCCAGGGGUUCAAAAUCUUUUAUGAACUUCAUGCUUCCUUUGUGUGGGUCUCAGAGAGAAUGGAAUUGUGUGUGUGCAUGUGUGGAUACAAGUGACACACCUCUGACUCCUCACCCUCACGCCUCAGGUAACUUAAGCAAAGGGAUUAAAG